UUAGCAUGGAAUAAUAGAAUAGGACGUGUGGUUCUAUUUUGUUGGUUUCUAGGACCGCCGUAAUGAUUAAUAGGGACAGUCGGGGGCAUCAGUAUUCAGUUGUCAGAGGUGAAAUUCUUGGAUCUACUGAAGACUAACUACUGCGAAAGCAUUUGCCAAGGAUGUUUUCAUUGAUAAGGAACGAAAGUUAGGGGAUCGAAGACGAUCAGAUACCGUCGUAGUCUUAACUAUAAACUAUGCCGACUAGGGAUCGGACGAUGUUAUUAUUUGACGCGUUCGGCACCUUUCGAGAAAUCAAAGUGCUUGGGCUCCAGGGGGAGUAUGGUCGCAAGACUGAAACUUAAAGAAAUUGACGGAAGGGCACCACCAGGGGUGGAACCUGCGGCUUAAUUUGACUCAACACGGGGAAACUCACCAGGUCCAGACACAGUGAGGAUUGACAGAUUGAGAGCUCUUUCUUGAUUCUGUGGGUGGUGGUGCAUGGCCGUUCUUAGUUGGUGGAGUGAUUUGUCUGCUUAAUUGCGAUAACGAACGAGACCUUAACCUGCUAAAUAGCCCGUACUGCUCUGGCAGUUCGCUGGCUUCUUAGAGGGACUAUCGGCUCAAGCCGAUGGAAGUUUGAGGCAAUAACAGGUCUGUGAUGCCCUUAGAUGUCCUGGGCCGCACGCGCGUUACACUGACAGAGUCAGCGAGUACCUCCUUGGCCGGAAGGCCCGGGUAAUCUUGUUAAACUCUGUCGUGCUGGGGAUAGAGCAUUGCAAUUAUUGCUCUUCAACGAGGAAUCCCUAGUAAGCGCAAGUCAUCAGCUUGCGUUGAUUACGUCCCUGCCCCUUGUACACACCGCCC
rnacentral:rRNA from 1 species